GAUGAACGCUGGCGGCGUGCCUAAUACAUGCAAGUCGAGCGAACAGACGAGGAGCUUGCUCCUCGGACGUUAGCGGAGGACGGGUGAGUAACACGUGGAUAACCUACCUAUAAGACUGGGAUAACUUCGGGAAACCGGAGCUAAUACCGUAUAAUAUAUUGAACCGCAUGGUUCAAUAGUGAAAGACGGUUUUGCUGUCACUUAUAGAUGGAUCCGCGCCGCAUUAGCUAGUUGGUAAGGUAACGGCUUACCAAGGCAACGAUGCGUAGCCGAACUGAGAGGGUGAUCGGCCACCCUGGAACUGAGACACGGUCCAGACUCCUACGGGAGGCAGCAGUAGGGAAUCUUACGCAAUGGGCGAAAGCCUGACGGAGCGACGCCGAGUGAGUGAUGAAGGUCUUCGGAUCGUAAAACUCUGUUAUUAGGGAAGAACAAAUGUGUAAGUAACUAUGCACGUCUUGACGGUACCUAAUCAGAAAGCCACGGCUAACUACGUG
rnacentral:rRNA from 1 species